rnacentral:rRNA from 1 species
UCCCUAUGGGGUGCAGCAGGCGCGAAACCUCUGCAAUAGGCGAAAGCCUGACAGGGUUAUUCUGAGUGACUUCCGCUAAGAAAGUCUUUUGACACCUCUAAAAAUGGUGUAGAAUAAGGGGUGGGCAAGUCUGGUGUCAGCCGCCGCGGUAAUACCAGCACCCCGAGUGGUCGGGACGUUUAUUGGGCCUAAAGCAUCCGUAGCCGGCUCUACAAAUCUUCCGUUAAAUCCAGCUGCUUAACAGAUGGGCUGCGGAAGAUACUAUGGAGCUAGGAGGCGGGAGAGGCAAGCGGUACUCGAUGGGUAGGGGUAAAAUCCGUUGAUCCAUUGAAGACCACCAGUGGCGAAGGCGGCUUGCCAGAAUGCGCUCGACGGUGAGGGAUGAAAGCUGGGGGAGCGAACCGGAUUAGACACCCGGGUAGUCCCAGCUGUAAACGAUGCGGGCUAGGUGUUAGGGCGGCUACGUGCUGCUCUAGUGCCGCAGAGAAGUCGUUAAGCCCGCCGCCUGGGAAGUACGAUCGCAAGGUUGAAACUUAAAGGAAUUGGCGGGGGAGCACCACCAGGCGUGAAGCCUGCGGUUUAAUUGGAUUCAACGCCGGAA